AGUAUAAUAGUGUAAUGGUAACACAUUAGACUCAUAAUCUAAAGAUUCAUGUUCAAAUCAUGAUUAUGCAA
rfam:Pachysolen tannophilus NRRL Y-2460 unplaced genomic scaffold PACTA_scaffold_10, whole genome shotgun sequence.